rnacentral:tRNA from 1 species
AAUGAAAAGCCUGAGGAAAGGAUUAUUUUGAUAGAAUAAAAUACGUGAUUUUUCACUUUCAUUA